GGGUUGUGAGGUUAAGCGACUAAGCGUACACGGUGGAUGCCCUGGCAGUCAGAGGCGAUGAAGGGCGUGCUAAUCUGCGAUAAGCGCCGGUAAGGUGAUAUGAACCGUUAUAACCGGCGAUACCCGAAUGGGGAAACCCAGUGUGACUCGUCACACUAUCAUUAACUGAAUCCAUAGGUUAAUGAGGCGAACCGGGGGAACUGAAACAUCUAAGUACCCCGAGGAAAAGAAAUCAACCGAGAUUCCCCCAGUAGCGGCGAGCGAACGGGGAGGAGCCCAGAGCCUGAAUCAGCAUGUGUGUUAGUGGAAGCGUCUGGAAAGGCGCGCGAUACAGGGUGACAGCCCCGUACACAAAAGCGCAUGUGCUGUGAGCUCGAUGAGUAGGGCGGGACACGUGGUAUCCUGUCUGAAUAUGGGGGGACCAUCCUCCAAGGCUAAAUACUCCUGACUGACCGAUAGUGAACCAGUACCGUGAGGGAAAGGCGAAAAGAACCCCGGCGAGGGGAGUGAAAAAGAACCUGAAACCGUGUACGUACAAGCAGUGGGAGCACCCUUUGGGGUGUGACUGCGUACCUUUUGUAUAAUGGGUCAGCGACUUAUAUUCUGUAGCAAGGUUAACCGUAUAGGGGAGCCGUAGGGAAACC
rnacentral:rRNA from 1 species